rnacentral:tRNA from 1 species
GUAGCUCAGUGGUAGAGCCGUUAUCAGGAUCAUCCACCCCUUGUCGCGAAAACCCCCAUGGCUGGCGAAUGCCGGCGAAACUACAUCGUUAAGGACGACCAGGUCGCCGGUUCGAAUCCGGUCCGGACCACCA